CCUACGGGAGGCAGCAGUGGGGGAUAUUGCACAAUGGGGGGAACCCUGAUGCAGCGACGCCGCGUGGGUGAAGGAGCGUUUCGGCGCGUAAAGCCCUAUCGGCCGGGAAGAAGAUGACGGUACCUGACCAAGAAGCCCCGGCAAACUACGUGCCAGCAGCCGCGGUAAUACGGAGGCUGCGAGCGUUAUCCGGAUUUAUUGGGUUUAAAGGGUGCGCAGGCGGAGGCACAAGUCAGCGGUAAAAUCGCGGGGCUCAACCCCGUUCCGCCGUUGAAACUGUGUCCCUUGAGUGCGCGAAGGGUAGGCGGAAUGCGUGGUGUAGCGGUGAAAUGCAUAGAUAUCACGCAGAACUCCGAUCGCGAAGGCAGCCUACCGGCGCGCAACUGACGCUCAUGCACGAAAGCGUGGGUAUCGAACAGGAUUAGAUACCCCUGUAGUC
rnacentral:rRNA from 1 species